UGUGUGUGUGUGUGUGUGUGUGUGUGGAGAUCCAGAGGCAGAUUGAAGGAGCAUGACAGAGGCGGAAACGACAGGAAACUCACAGCAAAAAACCAAAGAAAAGCUUAAAAUCAGGGUUUUGGAUUGAGUGAGGAGGGAGAGAUGUGUGUCACAGAGAGAGAGCAGAGCUGAGGACGAGACGCAGAGAGAAAGAAGAGAAGAGGAAGAGGAGGAGGCUGGGGUAAACAGAAGCAGAAAUGGGCUCAGCAGCAGAACAAACUCGAGUCCGGAGCCGAGGGUCAGCGUCACAACACUAACUACACACUAACUCGUCAGCAUCUAAGCCCCGCCCACAACACAUCAAUGUGUGAAUAUUGUGUGUUUCCAGCACAACUUAUCUGAUCAAAGAUGGAAAAAUGAUUCAUGAUUCAAAUAAAAUGAAAGUUUUUGUCAA